rnacentral:lncRNA from 1 species
GGCCAGGCUGGUCUCGAACUCCUGACCUCAGCCUCCCGAGUAGCUGGGAUUACAGGUGUCACCACCACGCAUGGCUAAUUUUUGUAUUUUUAGUAGAGAUGGGGUUUCACUGUGUUGGCCAGGCUGGUCUCGAACUCCUGACCUCAGGUGAUCCACCCGCCUUGGCCUCCCAAAGUGCCGGGAUUACAGGCAUGAACCACUGUGCCCGGCCAGUAGAGACUUAAUUCUUAA